AACGAACGCUGGCGGCAUGCCUAACACAUGCAAGUCGAACGAGACCUUCGGGUCUAGUGGCGCACGGGUGCGUAACGCGUGGGAAUCUGCCCUGGGGUGCGGAAUAACUCGGAGAAAUCCGUGCUAAUACCGCAUAAUGUCUUCGGACCAAAGAUUUAUCGCCCUGGGAUGAGCCCGCGUAGGAUUAGCUAGUUGGUGGGGUAAAGGCCUACCAAGGCGACGAUCCUUAGCUGGUCUGAGAGGAUGAUCAGCCACACUGGGACUGAGACACGGCCCAGACUCCUACGGGAGGCAGCAG
rnacentral:rRNA from 1 species